rnacentral:rRNA from 1 species
UACCAGCACCCCGAGUGGUCGGGACGAUUAUUGGGCCUAAAGCAUCCGUAGCCGGUCCUGCAAGUCUUCCGUUAAAUCCAGCUGCUCAACAGAUGGGCUGCGGAGGAUACUACAGGGCUAGGAGGCGGGAGAGGCAAGCGGUACUUUAUGGGUAGGGGUAAAAUCCGUUGAUCCAUAGAAGACCACCAGUGGCGAAGGCGGCUUGCCAGAACGCGCUCGACGGUGAGGGAUGAAGCUGGGGAGCAAAC